GAAAUGAUAGAUUUGAUAAGAAUAAAUUGAUUACAAAGGUAGAAAUGAAGAUUGGUAGCUUGAUGCUGCUUUCUUCUGCAAAUAAAAUAAAGGAAAGAAAUAACAAAAAUCAAAAAGAAAACUUCUCCCUUUCUCUCCCACGGUGGAACAACAACAUAAAAUAAUGAUGUUUUUUUCUUCUUUCCAAGAACAGAGCAUUGCUCUGUUUCUUCUUCUCCCCCCUUUGGGCCAGCCGACCACCUCCUUUUAUAGCUCGCCCCCACCUUGAAGCUGGCGAUUGAUCCCAAAGCGGAAGGGCUGAGUCACGGGAUGAGCUGGGAGCGUGAAGAGGGCAGACGCGCGUGGGAUGCUGGGAGGAGGCGAUCGCACGCGGAUGAGGCGGAGGAGACGCAGACGGAGAAGGAAUUGGAUGGAUCACGGCUUGCGGGGCGCUGAUUCGGGAAGCUAGAUCACGGUGCUGCUGAUUUCCUCCUUCACGGGUGGCUGGAUCAUGGAACGCUUGCAGACACGGAGGAGACGGAAUGGAGCUGGGGUCGUGGAAGAAGCGGACUCGGAGGCUUGAAGUGUGAGAUGCUGAGAGGACCCGACGGACUCUUGGGCUGCUGGGAGGAGCCGAUCACGGGAUCACUUGGAGGCCGCCGCGGGAUCGACGGGAGAUUGCGGACGUGAUGCUGCGAUUUGGGGGAGAAUCACGGCCGGCUGGAAAUGGAAGAAGUUGCUGGGAUGGAUCGCAGAGGAGGGGCUGGCCGCUGGAUCGAUGCUUGGGCUCACUCGCGGAAUCGCUGGGAGGAGGAAGAGGGUAGACGAGCGCGAGAUCCGUGGAUUUCCUUCACGGGAUGCAGAGAGGAGUUGAUCGUGGAAGAGAUCCGAUGCGGACUGGCUGGAACGGACGGACGUGGGAGGCUGGAUCACGCUGGCAAAUUUCUG
rnacentral:lncRNA from 1 species